UGGGAGGGCAUGGACACAGAUUGCGGAGAAAAGAGACAGCUUUCCCAAAGACAGCCCUGCAGCUGGGCCAGCUGAGGAUCUCCUCUGGGACAUGGAGCCACAGAGCAAAGCAGAGGCCAGGCACACAGCCACACACAAGGCACUGCCAGCUCUGCUCACCAGAAGAAUGGUAUUGGGCAUUAGAAGAACCAACUGACACCACUGGGAGGUCCAAUUGCUCAGGUCAUGGUGGAUCAAGGCCAAACCUGCUGCAGGAGACAUGUUUAGCUGAGAUAUCUGCUGAAAACAAAUGGUGGACCUUGUGAUCCAGAUGUGCCAGCUGAGGCUCUAAGUGCAGCUGGUAACAACUGCCCCGGUGUCAUUUCAUUGGUGAUACAAUGAUGGGAAAUUGCCAAAGAAAAAACCAGAUCAUGUGGAAUACUCUUUGUAAACAGAAGGAUGAAGGCAAAAGGGAAAAACUCACCAAUCCUAUGGCUUAUUUUGAUCAUUCUCUGCUCAACAUGCUCCCUCUCCAUCCCCUGUGGUUCUACUUUUCUGCUUAUUGCAGAUGAAAGGUUUUUGCAGAGCAUGGGAGCUCCAGGAGAUGAACAAAUCCCAGUCCUUACUUGAGAGAUCUGUGUGCCUGACUCCCUGCACUAUGUGCAGUUUAUUUUAGUAGACAUGAACAUGAUGCCAGGGGUGUAUUUAUGAGCAUGCAACAGAGGCAUUUCAGAGGAGUGGCUCAUGAUGGGAGCCAUCACUUCAGGGUAUGUGUGCAGCAGCUGACAGCAGGCAGAGUGACAGAGCAGAGCCAAGAAUGGGCUGGAGUUACAAGUGCAAAUAAAUCCCUUUUCCAUGCUGCAGUACUGUGUAUGUUUGGUUUACACUCUGGUGAACUUCCGAAAGGGAUUUAUGGACGGACAAGGCUGUGGCACAGGCCACGACUCCACAACUGGCACAGCACAAAAAGGCCACAAUUCUGCACUAAACUCUGAACCAGUGGUGUUUCAGCCCCAGAUGGGAGACCAACCUUUGUGAGAAGGUAUAAAAAAUUACAUGCAUAUAGAGAAGUCAUCUUCUGCCUCUGCAUCCCAACUAAGUGUAUGUACUAAAGCCAGUGUCUAGCCAGGGAGAACAGAAUCAUCAAGCUUUUAACAGUGGGCUUUAAAAUACUCUUUACACUUCAGAAGGUACAGAAAAUAAAGAAAACUCUGUAAAGAAAUGUAUUUUCUCUGUUGCCUGCACCCAUAUUAGUAAAAGGCACAUUACAUCAGCUUCUUAUGUUAUUUAAUGCACUUUAUUUUUUGCCAACAGACUGGAUCUAGGUAUUUGGUAUUUUUGUACUGCUGCACAUUGGAAUAUAUCUGCAGCCAGAGAAUAGUGAAUAGUUUACGAAUUAUAAGAAAAAUAAAAUUCCUGAAACUACCAGUGUUACUUUUAAAUUAAUAAAAAGAAAAACUGUCCAGUAGAAAAUGAGGAUGUUCUUUAGAAAUGAAUAUUUGAGACUCAACUGAGACAAUUACUCAACCAAGAGCAGACUGCAGUAGCAUGAGCUACGGCAUGCACAGUUACACUGAGACUAACAAACUGUUAAAAAAAAAAAAAAAAAAGAAAAAAAGAAUUUAUUAGGCUGUCUCAAAGCUGUCACUGACAACCAACAUGUUAGGGGGAAACAAUCUCAAGCACAGCAUCGAUUUAAACAUUCAGAGGUGCAUCACACCAAUCUCCUGUCACAUAAGUCUUUGCUCACUUCACUCACAAACAAGUGGCAAUCAAAGUGACAUCAGGAGCCUCAGAACCUCUUUUGGAGACAGACUGAGCAGAUGUUUUUGUAUCUAGAUUAAGUCACGAGACCCAGGCAAGAACAGAGCUCACUUUCCUUCCAGGCUUGUGCCAGACAGUGCCAGCUGCAGACAUUAGCAGCAUCCCAUUGAGGGCUGCUCCAGCAGCACGGAGCCAGCCUGUGCUGAGACAGGGAGAAGCUUGGCAGGCUGGACACACACCAAGGGCUGACAGGUUGCUGUCACUGGGAACAAGCUGCCAGGCCUUAUCUCAACAGGAAAAGCCACAAAUGCAUGUUUCCCAGUGGUGGUACAAGUUAAAGCACUGACAGAUAGCAGGCAGAGGACCAAGAGAAAUGGCUCCUGUCUUAUCUUGGCCACUGUGAGUUCCUGAAUUAGAAACAGAAUAAACACAGCACUGUUAAAGAAAGGGAAGGAAAGAAAAACAGGCAAUCCUCUAAAGGAUUCAGGUGGCUUUCUGGAGCAGAGGACCAGCUACCAUGUAGAGGGGGCCAAUUUCUACACACCUGUCUGGACCUCACAAGCCUGAUGUUCUUCUUUGGACUAUUUUGUACCAUUGCACUCAGCUGCACUGUUCCUACAGCUGGGGUUCAGACAUGCCAGUUAUUUGUAUGCAUUCAGGGUAGCCUGAAAGAUGCCAGCAAGUGCUCAGCUUCCUGCAGCUCUUCAGCUUCUGCUGACUAUAAACCUGCUGGUCCCUGGGUCCCUGCUCAGCCCUCACACAAGCUUUUGUGUUUUGCCUUCAAUCAAUACUCAAAUACAGGUACCUAUAGGGAGCAGCAGUGAGGAUGGAUCCUCUUGUUUCAACCUGCACAGGGAGAUUUAGAAAAGCACAGAAUAAGGCAAGGCUGCUUCUAAUACAGCAGCUGCCACUGAUACUGUGAAAGCCCAGGAGGAACUGCAUGGGAAUACUGUCACUUCAGCCAUGAUGAUAGAAGUGUUGAAAUAGUUUCUUUCCCUGAGGAACCUCAAAGAGCCAGCAAGGCCAGCCCCUCCAGGAGACGUGGUUGAAGUUCUACUGAUGACUUAGUGGAAUAGCUUAUGUUCUUUAACAUUCUGCCUCUGGUUUGCUUGGCUUGUGAAAAGUAAGUUUCCUUUUACACACAGUCUCACACACCUUACUCCUCCCUCUUCCCUCCCUUCUCUCUCCAGCACCAUCCCUCUGGUCUUCUCCAGUCAGGAAAGUGAUAGAGUUUUAUUGCAGCUCACAGCAGUGCAGAGCUCUGGUAUGGGUUUAUUCACCUAAACUGUCACAGUGAAUUUUGGACUGCAGGGCAGACUUGUUGGCAGUCUCACUCCAGUCUCCUACUGGAGUUUGCAACUCAAAUCCAGUCAGGAUCUGGGAAAUACAGCCCUCUUCUCUCCACCACAUCCUGCAGCCUGCCCCAGAGAGAGGUCACAGUGGGCCUUUACAAGCACUGCAACAGCUGUAGGAGUGCAUAAAGCCAUGAAGAGGAAGAAAUGUCUGAGGAACAGCUGAAUUAGGACAUUUUAGUCAGGUUCAAGGCCUUCCAUUUGAUUAGAUUAGCCACACCUUUGCAGGAAAAUCAGCUGUUAAUUAUUUACUGCAGCCCAAAGAGGCAACUUCCAGGCUACUUCUACAAUUCUCCAGGUACAGCAAGGGGUCCCUCACCAUAGGCCAAGAUCUCUUGGAGGGGUGAAGAGGAGGCAACAGAGGAAACACCUACUACAAACCACAACAGCUUCAGCAGGGUGGAAGCCAGCAUGUCCCUAGAGCAAGAGGCAUCCUCAGUUCCAGAAGACCUGAAGACACUGAUUGCAACAAGUGACUGGGCUCUUGGAGGGCUGGUGGUGAUUGCCAUCUUCUGUUUUGUUUUUCUUGUUCUCAUUUUAUUUGCUGUUCUCUUUGGGUGCUGCACAUCUCCAAGGCACAAACGGGGUAACUUGUAGACAGCAAAGUGAGGACACAGAACUUGGUACAGCUGAGCAAGAACCAGCCUGGGUACAAUCUGAUUGUGUUGUUCACAGAAAACUCUCAUCUCACUCCCCACGUGGUUAUUUCUCUCAAUGCAACUUCCCUGCAUCAAGAGCCAUGUCCCAAUGCCAGCAACUUGUUCUGGCACAGAACUGUUGGCUGUCCACAGCAAACUCAAUAGAUGAGACUGUCUGGAUUCAGGAACUGCAACAUUUGCUAAAUACCAAAGUAAACUCAUCUCUGAUUUUCAUCUUUCAAGCAAAACCACCAACUAGAGGUGGCAAAUGGUCAGCCACCACCUAAAGAAGACAAAGAUGUGUUCUGCUGCUGCUGCAGCUAUGUGGGUUGGGUUUUUUUUUUCACCUUACAGAAGAGCAAUAGGAAACUCUGGCCACUGAAAGCUUUGUCUGAACCCACUCUCUAAAAGCAGUUUAGACCAUUGCUCUCCUGUCAUACUCAGGCCUAAAUACACUAUGCAAAAACUUGUUUGCCAGCACACA